rnacentral:rRNA from 1 species
GACGGAGGGGGCUAGCGUUGUUCGGAAUUACUGGGCGUAAAGAGCGCGUAGGCGGCUUAGCAAGUUGGAAGUGAAAGCCCGAGGCUUAACCUCGGAACUGCUUUCAAAACUGUUAGGCUAGAGUAUAGUAGAGGGUGAUAGAAUUCCUAGUGUAGAGGUGAAAUUCUUAGAUAUUAGGAGGAAUACCGGUGGCGAAGGCGAUCACCUGGGCUAUUACUGACGCUGAGGCGCGAAAGCGUGGGGAGCAAACAGG